GACGAACGCUGGCGGCGUGCUUAACACAUGCAAGUCGAACGGAAAGGCCCUGCUUUUGUGGGGUGCUCGAGUGGCGAACGGGUGAGUAACACGUGAGUAACCUGCCCUUGACUUUGGGAUAACUUCAGGAAACUGGGGCUAAUACCGGAUAGGAGCUCCUGCUGCAUGGUGGGGGUUGGAAAGUUUCGGCGGUUGGGGAUGGACUCGCGGCUUAUCAGUAUGUUGGUGGGGUAGUGGCUUACCAAGGCUUUGACGGGUAGCCGGCCUGAGAGGGUGACCGGCCACAUUGGGACUGGGAUACGGCCCAGACUCAUACGGGAGGCAGCAGUGGGGAAUAUUGCACAAUGGGCGGAAGCCUGAUGCAGCAACGCCGCGUGCGGGAUGACGGCCUUCGGGUUGUAAACCGCUUUCGCCUGUGACGAAGCGUGAGUGACGGUAAUGGGUAAAGAAGCACCGGCUAACUACGU
rnacentral:rRNA from 1 species